rnacentral:rRNA from 1 species
AUUGAACGCUGGCGGCAUGCCUUACACAUGCAAGUCGAACGGCAGCAUGGAGAGCUUGCUCUCUGAUGGCGAGUGGCGAACGGGUGAGUAAUGCAUCGGAACGUACCGUGUAAUGGGGGAUAACGUAGCGAAAGUUACGCUAAUACCGCAUACGACCUGAGGGUGAAAGCGGGGGAUCGAAAGACCUCGCGCGAUUAGAGCGGCCGAUGCCUGAUUAGCUUGUUGGUGGGGUAAAGCCCACCAAGGCGACGAUCAGUAGCUGGUCUGAGAGGACGAUCAGCCACACUGGGACUGAGACACGGUCCAGACUCCUACGGGAGGCAGCAGUGGGGAAUAUUGGACAAUGGGCGAAAGCCUGAUCCAGCAAUGCCGCGUGAGUGAUGAAGGCCUUAGGGUUGUAAAGCUCUUUUACCCGAGAUGAUAAUGACAGUAUCGGGAGAAUAAGCUCCGGCUAACUCCGUGCCAGCAG